AUGUACAAGGAGUACCGUGACACUACAUUGAAUGGUGCCGUGGAACAGAUGUACACCGAGAUGGCUUCUCGCCACCGUGUGAGAUUCCCUUGCAUCCAGAUCAUCAAGACCGCCACUGUCCACUUCAAGCUCUGCAAGAGGGACAACACCAAGCAGUUCCACAACGGGAGCAUCAAGUUCCCCCUUGUGUACCGCAAGGUCAGGCCGCCAACCAGGAAGCUCAAGACCACGUUCAAGGCG
rnacentral:misc_RNA from 1 species